rnacentral:tRNA from 2 species
GCCUCGCUAGCUCAGUUGGUAGAGCAGCUGACUCUUAAUCAGCGGGUCGUAGGUUCGAGUCCUACGCGAGGCA